ACAAUUGCCAUGAUGAUGGUACCCCCGCUCAGCACUGGUGUUCACCCAGCAGAAAGCGGAGAUAUCCUCGGCUUUUCCUGCAGAGAGGAGCCAGUGAUGUGUUCCCCUCCCCGCUCCUCUCCCUGGCCAGCAGCACCCUGGGCUGCCCAUCCCCUGCUCCCCCCUUCCUUCAAGAAUCAUUAAUUAUCAUAAGGGAGAACAUUUCCUUUAACUGCACAAUGUCAAACGACUCUUCAAUUUCAGUGCUCAUCUGUUUUCAUCAAUCCAGGGCCCAGCUGCCGUGCUGCUCUGUGAUGAGACCGACUGGUGCUAUCCCACUUGUGAUCAUGCUCUGACUGGGAAAUGCUCAGACAAUCCAGCUGCCAGCAGGAAAUAAUAUCUUAUAAGUCAUGGAAAAGCCAGGAAAAAAAA